GAAACUAUGAACCUUGUGAUUGCGUUUCCUGAAGAAGUUCGCUUCAUGCUUAUUUCCGUGAGCAGAAUUUAGUACUGGAAUGUUUGUGAGGUGCUGGCAAUAUUCGAGAAGGACAUACUUUUUGUGAAAUGAACCUCUUCCCAAAGUUGUGAUCGGCGAUGCGUCUCGGGUCAUUUGUUGGUCACUGUUUACCUUGUAAGUGGUUUAUACUGAUGAACUGUAUGAUCUGGUUAUGCGCAGAUGGUCAGAGAGGCUAUCACCGCUAUCCAUAUAAGGCCACCAGGAGGAGUACUUCGGAAGAAACAUGCUUUUAUAAUGGAUCUCACCAACGUUGUUCCUUUUCUCUUUAUUGCUUGCUGACAGGAGGCACAUCUGUAUCUUCCUGUGGGAACAGUUUGCUGU